rfam:Salmo salar isolate Sally breed double haploid chromosome ssa20, whole genome shotgun sequence.
GAUCCCAAUGAUUGUGAGUCGCUUUGGAUAAGAGUGUCUGCUAAAUGACUAAAA